rnacentral:rRNA from 2 species
CAUUCACGGAGAGUUUGAUCCUGGCUCAGGACGAACGCUGGCGGCGUGCUUAACACAUGCAAGUCGAACGAUGAAGCCCUUCGGGGUGGAUUAGUGGC